rnacentral:rRNA from 1 species
AGUGAACGCUGGCGGUAGGCCUAACACAUGCAAGUCGAACGGCAGCACAGUAAGAGCUUGCUCUUACGGGUGGCGAGUGGCGGACGGGUGAGGAAUACAUCGGAAUCUACUUUUUCGUGGGGGAUAACGUAGGGAAACUUACGCUAAUACCGCAUACGACCUACGGGUGAAAGCAGGGGAUCUUCGCACCUUGCGCGAUUGAAUGAGCCGAUGUCGGAUUAGCUAGUUGGCGGGGUAAAGGCCCACCAAGGCGACGAUCCGUAGCUGGUCUGAGAGGAUGAUCAGCCACACUGGAACUGAGACACGGUCCCGACUCCUACGGGAGGGAGCAGUGGGGAAUAUUGGACAAUGGGCGGAAGCCUGAUCCAGCCAUACCGCGUGGGUGAAGAAGGCCUUCGGGUUGUAAAGCCCUUUUGUUGGGAAAGAAAAGCAGCAGGUUAAUACCCCGCUGUUCUGACGGUACCCAAAGAAUAAGCACCGGCUAACUUCGUG